rnacentral:rRNA from 1 species
UACGGAGGGUGCAAGCGUUAAUCGGAAUUACUGGGCGUAAAGCGCGCGUAGGCGGUUAUUUAAGCUAGAUGUGAAAUCCCCGGGCUUAACCUGGGAACUGCAUUUAGAACUGAGUAGCUAGAGUAUGGGAGAGGGGUGUGGAAUUUCCGGUGUAGCGGUGAAAUGCGUAGAGAUCGGAAGGAACAUCAGUGGCGAAGGCGACACCCUGGCCCAAUACUGACGCUGAGGUGCGAAAGCGUGGGGAUCAAACAGG